UACAGAGGGUGCGAGCGUUAAUCGGAAUUACUGGGCGUAAAGCGUGCGUAGACGGUUAUUUAAGUCGGUUGUGAAAGCCCCGGGCUCAACCUGGGAAUUGCAUUCGAGACUGAAUAGCUAGGGUACGGUAGAGGGAAGUGGAAUUUCCGGUGUAGCGGUGAAAUGCGUAGAUAUCGGAAGGAACACCGGUGGCGAAAGCGGCGCGCUGGAUCUCUUCUGACGCUGAGGCGCGAAAGCCAGGGGAGCGAACGGG
rnacentral:rRNA from 1 species